rnacentral:lncRNA from 10 species
CUCGCCUAGAGGAGGGAAAGGCCGUGGCGUCCGCUCCCUCCGCGGCUCAUGGCGACGACGCUUGGCACAUCCGGGACCCUCAGGCCGCUGCAGUCGCGUCGCCGGCUGCUCGGGCCCCAGCCCCGGCCGCUGUGGUGACUCCGCCGCGCCUCGCCGUCGCCCCCGUCCCGCCCGCCGCCCCAGCCGCCAGGGACAUGUCUAACCUCGGAGGCCGUAGGAACGGGCCUGUCGAAGUGCGCCUGACAGGGACAUGCCACCCCCGUUUUAGGAGAACUUGUAUUUGGUUUGAGAAGGAAUUGGAAUCACGGCGUUAUCCUACCUUCACCAUUUACCCCUGAUAAAUUGUCCACGUUUAUAUUUGGGAAUCAUAUUGACAGGUCAUGAAAAUGAGACCAAAAGAUCUCUGGAAGCGAUUAAUGAUAAAAUUUCAUGGAGAAGAAGGCCUUGACUACGGAGGGGUUGCCAGGUUCAUGUUGCUGAGGAGGCAGAGG